CCUACGGGCGGCUGCAGUGGGGAAUAUUGCGCAAUGGACGAAAGUCUGACGCAGCGACGCCGCGUGAGGGAUGAAGGUUUUCGGAUCGUAAACCUCUGUCAGGAGGGAAGAAAGCGCAUGGCGCCAAUCAGCCAUGCGUUGACGGUACCUCCAAAGAAAGCGCCGGCUAACUCCGGCCCAGCAGCCGCGGUAAUGCGGAGGGCGCGAGCGUUGAUCGGAAUUACUGGGGGUAAAGCGCGCGUAGGCUGUUGUGGAAGGUGGGGGUGAAAUCCCACGGCCCAACCGUGGAACAGCCCUGGAUACUGCGGGACUUGAGUCCGGGAGAGGGUGGCGGAAUGCGAGGUGUAGGAGUGAAAUGCGUAGAUAUCGGGAGGAACAUCAGUGGCGAAGGCGGCCACCUGGACCGGUAUUGACGCUGAGGCGCGAAAGCGUGGGGAGCAAACAGGAUUAGAUACCCUUGUAGUC
rnacentral:rRNA from 1 species